GGUCCCGAGUGAUGGUGGCUUAUGCAGAGGACAGGCUGAGCCCUGCACGAGUGGUUAGCCCGGCUGAGCUGCUCGCCACGCCUGCUGGAGGGCGGGGGUGAACCUCAGGACCUCGACGUUGAACCCAAGAGGAAGCAUGUCUAAAAAAGCCCGGAGCAAGGGCGAGAAGCCCGAGAUGGAGAUGGACCCGGUGCAGAUGGCCAACGAGGAGCUGCGGGCCAAGCUGACCAGCAUCCAGAUCGAGUUCCAGCAGGAGAAGAGCAAGGUGGGGAGGCUGCGCGAGCGGCUGCAGGAGGCCAAGCUGGAGCGCGAGCAGGAGCAGCGGCGGCACACGGCGCACAUCUCGGAGCUCAAGGCCAAGCUGCACGAGGAGAAGACCAAGGAGCUGCAGGCUCUGCGCGAGGCUCUGCUGCGCGACGGGGCGGCCGACAAGGUCAAGUCGGCGCUGCUGGCCGAGGCGCGCGACGAGGCGCGCAGGGCCUUCGAUGGCGAGCGCCUGCGCCUGCAGCAGGACAUCUUGGAGCUCAAAGCGGCACGCAAGCAGGCGGAGGAGGCGCUCAGCAACUGCGUGCAGGCGGACAAGGCCAAGGCGGCCGACCUGCGCGCCGCCUACCAGGCGCACCAGGACGAGGCGCACCGCAUCAAGCGGGAGUGCGAACGCGACAUCCGCAGGCUGAUGGAUGAGAUCAAAGGGAAAGACCGGGUGAUCUUGGCCCUGGAGAAGGAGCUGGGUGUGCAGGCUGGGCAGACCCAGCGGCUGCUUCUGCAGAAAGAGGCUUUGGAUGAGCAGCUGGUCCAGGUCAAGGAGGCUGAGCGGCACCACAGCAGCCCAAAGAGGGAGCUGCCGCCAGGCAUCGGGGACAUGGCGGAGCUCAUGGGCAACCAGGAUCAGCAUAUGGAUGAACGAGAUGCGAGGCGAUUCCAACUAAAAAUUGCUGAGCUGAAUUCAGUGAUCCGGAAGCUGGAAGACAGAAAUACCCUGUUGGCAGAUGAGAGGAACGAGCUGCUGAAGCGGGCACGGGAGACUGAGGUGCAGCUGAAGCCGCUGGUGGAGAAGAACAAGCGCAUGAACAAGAAGAAUGAGGACCUGCUGCAGAGCAUCCAGCGGAUGGAGGAGAAGCUCAAGAACCUCACUCGGGAGAACGUGGAGAUGAAAGAGAAGCUCUCAGCCCAGGCCUCACUGAAGCGCCACACGUCCCUAACCGACCUCAGCCUGACAAGGGACGAGCAGGAGAUAGAGUUCCUGAGACUCCAGGUGCUGGAGCAGCAGCACGUCAUAGACGACCUCUCACUGGAGAGAGAACGGCUGUUGCGCUCCAAGAGGCAUCGAGGGAAAAGCCUGAAGCCGCCCAAGAAGCAUGUUGUGGAGACAUUUUUUGGAUUUGACGAGGAGUCCGUGGACUCGGAGACUUUGUCGGAGAUGUCCUACAACACAGACAGGACCGACAGGACCCCGGCCACCCCUGAGGAGGACUUGGACGAGAGCACGGCCAGAGAAGAGGCCGACCUGCGGUUCUGCCAGCUGACCCGGGAGUACCAGGCCCUGCAGCGGGCCUACGCCCUGCUUCAGGAGCAGGUCGGGGGGACGCUGGAUGCUGAGCGGGAGGCCCGGACUCGGGAGCAGCUGCAGGCUGAUCUGCUGCGGUGUCAGGCCAAGAUCGAAGACUUGGAGAAGUUGCUGGCUGAGAGGGGACAGGAUUCCACGUGGGUGGAGGAGAAGCAGCUGCUCAUCAGGACAAACCAAGACCUGCUGGAGAAGAUUUACAGGCUAGAAAUGGAGGAGAACCAGCUGAAGAGCGAAAUGCAAGAUGCGAAGGAUCAGAACGAGCUGUUAGAAUUCAGAGUGCUAGAACUCGAAGAGAGAGAGCGGGGGUCUUCAGCCUUUAACCUCCGAAUCACCGCCUUCCCCGAGAACAACAGCAGCGCCCUCCAGCUGUUCUGUCACCAGGAAGGAGUGAAGGAUGUGAAUAUUUCUGAACUUAUGAAGAAAUUAGAUAUCCUUGGCGAUAAUGGGAAUUUGAGAAAUGAAGAACAGGUUGCAAUAAUCCAAGCCGGAACUGUGCUUGCCCUGUGUGAAAAGGUAGAGCCCAGCGGCGGUUCUGUGCGCGUGCCUGUCUCACACCCUGCACCACAUGAGAAACCGCACCGUGGUGUUGCGCUUGGCGGGGAGCAUGUAAGGGUCUGUCUGCGUCUGCAUGUGCCCAGGCAUGCCUCGUCACGUGCUGGUGUAGCAAUGGCAGGGCUGCGGAAACACAGGCCUUGGCAGGGAACAGUCCUGGCCCGCGGUGUAUUUCUGCACAGGUUUUCCCACACCUGUUUUCCUGUGCUUAGUGGGAAUCGUACCCGAACACCCCACUUUCUUACCCCUCUGUGUCAGCCAUUUAGAAUGGGCCUGACAUCUGUCCCACUGGCUGGGCCACCUGCUCGUGCAGGUACACCCCAGACUGCUGUAGCAGCCUCCACAGACAGGUGUCUGGGCGCUCCCCCUCUUUCUCUGUUACGGAGCGUGAACACACGAGCAUCUUUGCACAUAGACCCCAUCUCACUGGGGAACCCCUCUCCGGGAGAGGGUGUAGAAGUGGAAUCACUGGGCCAGACGGUAAGAACAUUCCCACGGGCAUUGGUGUUGGCAAACAGUUUCUAGAACAGCGGCCCCAGUUCCCUUUCUACCUGCAGCAUCAGCUGCCGUGUUGCUGCCUUCUUGCUCCACAUGACGUCUGCCACUCACAGAGCUCGGUCCGUCUGAUAGGCAGAGGACAAUAGGAUAUCACUGUUUCCAUUUUCAUUUAUUUGGGUGUCAGUG
rnacentral:lncRNA from 1 species